GCCUGGUUGGCUUCUAGGGCAUACAUCUAACAUUAACUCCUUUGAAAGAUUCUCACAUUGACCUGUCUGGAAAAAUAUCUCCGCAAGUGAUGAGCAACUCAAGGUUUCUUGAAGAAAAAACAGAAUUCACUUCUACUGUAGAUCAGCCAUGCAGAAAGCGUCUUAGAUUUGCAGAAGAUGAUGGCCUGAGCAAUAGCAAGAGCGAACCAUGACGAUAUAAUCAAAUUAUUCUACUUAUUACUUAUGCAUCUUUUCAGAUUUUUGUCAUUAAUGAAUAGACAUCUAUUUU